AAAUUGAAGAGUUUGAUCAUGGCUCAGAUUGAACGCUGGCGGCAGGCCUAACACAUGCAAGUCGAGCGGUAGCACAGAGAGCUUGCUCUCGGGUGACGAGCGGCGGACGGGUGAGUAAUGUCUGGGAAACUGCCUGAUGGAGGGGGAUAACUACUGGAAACGGUAGCUAAUACCGCAUAACGUCGCAAGACCAAAGAGGGGGACCUUCGGGCCUCUUGCCAUCAGAUGUGCCCAGAUGGGAUUAGCUAGUAGGUGGGGUAACGGCUCACCUAGGCGACGAUCCCUAGCUGGUCUGAGAGGAUGACCAGCCACACUGGAACUGAGACACGGUCCAGACUCCUACGGGAGGCAGCAGUGGGGAAUAUUGCACAAUGGGCGCAAGCCUGAUGCAGCCAUGCCGCGUGUAUGAAGAAGGCCUUCGGGUUGUAAAGUACUUUCAGCGGGGAGGAAGGUGUUGUGGUUAAUAACCACAGCAAUUGACGUUACCCGCAGAAGAAGCACCGGCUAACUCCGUGCCAGCAGCCGCGGUAAUACGGAGGGUGCAAGCGUUAAUCGGAAUUACUGGGCGUAAAGCGCACGCAGGCGGUCUGUCAAGUCGGAUGUGAAAUCCCCGGGCUCAACCUGGGAACUGCAUUCGAAACUGGCAGGCUAGAGUCUUGUAGAGGGGGGUAGAAUUCCAGGUGUAGCGGUGAAAUGCGUAGAGAUCUGGAGGAAUACCGGUGGCGAAGGCGGCCCCCUGGACAAAGACUGACGCUCAGGUGCGAAAGCGUGGGGAGCAAACAGGAUUAGAUACCCUGGUAGUCCACGCCGUAAACGAUGUCGACUUGGAGGUUGUGCCCUUGAGGCGUGGCUUCCGGAGCUAACGCGUUAAGUCGACCGCCUGGGGAGUACGGCCGCAAGGUUAAAACUCAAAUGAAUUGACGGGGGCCCGCACAAGCGGUGGAGCAUGUGGUUUAAUUCGAUGCAACGCGAAGAACCUUACCUACUCUUGACAUCCAGAGAACUUUCCAGAGAUGGAUUGGUGCCUUCGGGAACUCUGAGACAGGUGCUGCAUGGCUGUCGUCAGCUCGUGUUGUGAAAUGUUGGGUUAAGUCCCGCAACGAGCGCAACCCUUAUCCUUUGUUGCCAGCGGUCCGGCCGGGAACUCAAAGGAGACUGCCAGUGAUAAACUGGAGGAAGGUGGGGAUGACGUCAAGUCAUCAUGGCCCUUACGAGUAGGGCUACACACGUGCUACAAUGGCGCAUACAAAGAGAAGCGACCUCGCGAGAGCAAGCGGACCUCAUAAAGUGCGUCGUAGUCCGGAUUGGAGUCUGCAACUCGACUCCAUGAAGUCGGAAUCGCUAGUAAUCGUAGAUCAGAAUGCUACGGUGAAUACGUUCCCGGGCCUUGUACACACCGCCCGUCACACCAUGGGAGUGGGUUGCAAAAGAAGUAGGUAGCUUAACCUUCGGGAGGGCGCUUACCACUUUGUGAUUCAUGACUGGGGUGAAGUCGUAACAAGGUAACCGUAGGGGAACCUGCGGUUGGAUCACCUCCUUACCUUAAAGAA
rnacentral:rRNA from 2 species